CGCGGCCUAUCAGCUUGUUGGUGAGGUAACGGCUCACCAAGGCAACGACGGGUAGCUGGUCUGAGAGGACGAUCAGCCACACUGGGACUGAGACACGGCCCAGACUCCUACGGGAGGCAGCAGCAGGGAAUAUUGCACAAUGGGCGAAAGCCUGAUGCAGCGACGCCGCGUGGGGGAUGAAGGCCUUCGGGUUGUAAACCCCUUUCAGGAGGGACGAAGCGAAAGUGACGGUACCUCCAGAAGAAGCCCCGGCCAACUACGUGCCGGCAGCCGCGGUAAUACGUAGGGGGCGAGCGUUGUCCGGAUUUAUUGGGCGUAAAGAGCUCGUAGGCGGCUCAACAAGUCGGCCGUGAAAGCCCGAGGCUUAACCUCGGGACGCCGGUCGAAACUGUUGUGGCUAGGGUCCGGUAGAGGAGAGUGGAAUUCCCGGUGUGGGGGGGGAAAUGCGCAGAUAUCGGGGGGAACACCAGUAGCGAAGGCGGCUCUCUGGGCCGGCACCGACGCUGAGGAGCGAAAGCUAGGGGAGCAAACAGGAUUAGAUACCCUGGUAGUCCACGCCGUAAACGUUGGGUACUAGGUGUGGCGGGUUCAUCAAUGCCCGCCGUACCGAAGCUAACGCAUUAAGUACCCCGCCUGGGGAGUACGG
rnacentral:rRNA from 1 species